GCUAGCUGGAGGGAGAGGAACGGCUUUUGGGCCACUCAGCAGUAAUGAUGGAGGCACACAUUUAACCUGAGUUUUCAUGGACGUGAAGUAAGAUCUGACAAGCCAAGUACGGAGACAAGGCCUUUGUCUGAAGCAGCAAGGAGGUCAUUAGCCAACCGCUUUCUUGAGAACCUUGGACAGGAAAGAAGGAUUGGUAUUGUUAUGGAGGGGACCCGUCUUCCAGCUUUGCAGUCUCAUUAAGAUAAGCCGCUUCCACUCAGCUGACGAACGUCAACAAAUGGUUAAUCAUUUCCUAUGGUCUGAUGGCACCGUGGUCGAUUUAGCUGCUUUUAAUGGUGUAGAGCGUGAUGGCACUGGCAACUGUGCACAGAUUGUUGAAAGCGAUGGAUUUUAGCAGGAUGAGAUGGCCCCAUAUGUCUACAUCAAAGAUGUGCAGUUUUGCAGCGACAACGGCGGCGGCCAUGAUGGCGGCGGCCUCGCCGUCGACUAAUUGGUCUUGUAACCAUCCUGUGUGCGUGUGUGCAGUGUUUUCCAACAUUAUUAAAUUAUUGUUUUGGUCACAGUAAGUUUGUCAAAUUUGGAUAGAAAUCUGAGAAAUAUUAGAUAUCUGCUGAACUGAUUGCACCAUAUAUACUCAGAUUGGAUAUUUUUAUUCCAUCUCCUUAGUGUUUAACUGUGAACAAAACAGGAAGUGGGAGGAAAACAAUACCCCGUGCGAUAAACAGUGUUUAUCUACAGUGAUUAAAUAUCUGCAUGUCUAUAUGUUCGCGUGUGCAUAACCACAGAUGUUGAAACUGGGACCAACAUGGUCUUCCUGAAACUUUAGUAAAUGUUCCAUCUUCCCCAGAUCA